rnacentral:rRNA from 1 species
GACGAACGCUGGCGGCGUGCUUAACACAUGCAAGUCGAACGGAAAGGCCCUGCUUUUGUGGGGUGCUCGAGUGGCGAACGGGUGAGUAACACGUGAGUAACCUGCCCUUGACUUUGGGAUAACUUCAUGAAACUGGGGCUAAUACCGGAUAGGAUCUCCUGCUUCUUGGUGGGGGUUGGUAAGUUUCGGCGGUUGGUGAUGUACUCGCGUCUUAUCAGCUUGUUGGUGGGGUAGUGUCUUACCAAGGCUUUGACGGGUAGCCGGCCUGAGAGGGUGACCGGACACAUUGGGACUGGGAUACGGCCCAGACUACUACGGGAGGCAGCAGUGGGGAAUAUUGCACAAUGGGCGGAAGCAUGAUGCAGCAACGCAGCGUGCGGGAUGACGGCCUUCGGGUUGUAAACCGAUUUCGCCUGUGACGAAGCGUGAGUGACGGUAAUGGGUAAAGAAGCACCGGCUAACUACGUG